GCGUAUAGGGCGAUUGAUUUAGCGGCCGCCGUUCGCUCUUGUGCCAGCCGCCGCGGUAAUUCCAGCUCCAAUAGCGUAUAUUAGAGUUGUUGUGGUUAAAAAGCUCGUAGUUGAACCUUGGGCCUGGCUGGCCGGUCCGCCUCACCGCGUGCACUGGUCCGGCCGGGCCUUUCCCUCUGUGGAACCCCAUACCCUUCACUGGGCGUGGCGGGGAAACAGGACAUUUACUUUGAAAAAAUUAGAGUGCUCCAGGCAGGCCUAUGCUCGAAUACAUUAGCAUGGAAUAAUAAAAUAGGACGCGCGGUUCUAUUUUGUUGGUUUAUAGGACCGCCGUAAUGAUUAAUAGGGACAGUCGGGGGCAUCAGUAUUCAACUGUCAGAGGUGAAAUUCUUGGAUCAGUUGAAGACUAACUACUGCGAAAGCAUUUGCCAAGGAUGUUUUCAUUAAUCAGGAACGAAAGUUAGGGGAUCGAAGACGAUCAGAUACCGUCGUAGUCUUAACCAUAAACUAUGCCGACUAGGGAUCGGACGGGGUUAUUCAUGACCCGUUCCGCACCUUACGAGAAAUCAAAGUGCUUGUGCUCCUCGGGGAGAAUAAGACGCAAGGCUGAAACUUAAAGAAAUUGACGGAAGGGCAGCCACCAGGGGGUGGAGCUCUGCUGCCUUAAUAUGUCUCACGCGGAGAAACUCACCAGCGCACGACACAAUGAGGAUUGACAGAUGAAGAGCUCUUCUGAUUGGUGGGUGGGCAGCAUGGCCGAUCUUAGGUGGGGGGGUGACUUUGUCUGCUUAAUGACAAAAACAAAAGAGACUAUAAACUGGCAUAAUGACCCCGCAUUUGCUCGGGCAGUGCGUAUGGCUUCU
rnacentral:rRNA from 1 species